rnacentral:rRNA from 1 species
UACGUAGGGUGCAAGCGUUAAUCGGAAUUACUGGGCGUAAAGCGUGCGCAGGCGGCGCCGCAAGUCAGGCGUGAAAUCCCCGAGCUCAACUUGGGAAUUGCGCUUGAAACUACGGUGCUGGAGUAUGGCAGAGGGAGGUGGAAUUCCACGUGUAGCGGUGAAAUGCGUAGAGAUGUGGAGGAACACCGAUGGCGAAGGCAGGUCUCUGGGCCAUAACUGACGCUGAGAAGCGAAAGCAUGGGGAGCGAACAGG